CCGCGAUAUUUUGAUCGUGCUAAGGUAGCAUAAUCAUUAGUUUUUUAAUUAAAAGCUGGAAUGAAGGGUUGGAUGAAAAAAAAUCUGUCUAAGUUUAAAUUUUAUAGAAUUUUAUUUUUAAGUUAAAAAGCUUAAAUUAAGUUAAAAGACGAGAAGACCCUAUAGAGUUUAAUAAUUAUUUUUAUUUUAAUUUUUAGUAUUAAGAUUUAGAAUUAUUAUAAUAAUUAUUUGAUUGGGGUGAUUAAAAAAUUUAAUUAACUUUUUUUAUAUUUUAAUAUAAUUAUAUAGAUUUUUGAUCCAAUUAUUUUGAUUAAAAGAUAAAAUUACCUUAGGGAUAACAGCGUAAUUUUAUUGGAAAGUU
rnacentral:rRNA from 1 species